rnacentral:ncRNA from 1 species
UGAAAGGCUAAGAAGAGAAAGAGUACCGAAACGAUUCUUUGAACAGAGAGCUCCGGCAGCUGAAAAGGAGCAAAGAAGGAUUUUGGGAACAUGGCCUCUGAGCUGCGCAUCGAACCCUCAUUUGGUUGUAGCUGCGCCGGAACCCGCAUCCGUUACAGUGCUAGGGUAUAAACGCGAAGAGCGUCGUACCUGAAGAGGUGAAUGCCGCAAGGCAUUGAUAAAAUUGGGUGGUACCGCGUGAGCACGACUCUCGUCCCUUUG